ensembl:snoRNA
AGCCUCCUUCUCCAUGAGAAUGGGCGCCAUUGAUCGCGGUGUCCAGAAAUUGCUAAUGACGCUAAACAGAGACACAGGUGAUGCUCCCACCACAGUAAAUGCAUGGCAGUGGUGACGGUGAGCUCUGUAACACUU